GACGAACGCUGGCGGCGUGCCUAAUACAUGCAAGUCGAACGCACUCUCGUUUAGAUUGGAGGAGCUUGCUCCUGAUUGAUAAACAUUUGAGUGAGUGGCGGACGGUGAGUAACACGUGGGUAACCUGCCCUAAAGUGGGGGAUAACAUUUGGAAACAGAUGCUAAUACCGCAUAAAACCUAACACCGCAUGGUGUAGGGUUGAAAGAUGGUUUCGGCUAUCACUUUAGGAUGGACCCGCGGUGCAUUAGUUAGUUGGUGAGGUAAAGGCUCACCAAGACCGUGAUGCAUAGCCGACCUGAGAGGGUAAUCGGCCACACUGGGACUGAGACACGGCCCAGACUCCUACGGGAGGCAGCAGUAGGGAAUCUUCCACAAUGGACGAAAGUCUGAUGGAGCAACGCCGCGUGAGUGAAGAAGGUUUUCGGAUCGUAAAACUCUGUUGUUGGAGAAGAAUGUAUCUGAUAGUAACUGAUCAGGUAGUGACGGUAUCCAACCAGAAAGCC
rnacentral:rRNA from 1 species